AACUCAUAAGGAAACUAUCAUAUGGUAUUUGAUAGGAUUGAACCUCCAACCUCAUAGUAAUGAUCAUAUCUUUCUACUGCACUCGUAUUACAUAAAAAAUAAAUACAUAAUACGGUGUAUAAUGUCUUAGAUAAUACGGAGUAUUUCCAAAAAAAAAAAGGAAAUACGAGUAUGGAGUAUAGUACAAAGUAGAUAAUCCGGCAGCCUCCUUCCCCUCCCUUUCCUCGUACCCCCUUCGACCACCAAUUGGUUGGGUUUGGGGUUUUCGAUCGGGUUUUGGGAAGUGGGGGAAUCUUUAAUGGAGUUUUGGUUUUUGGGGUUUAAUGGUGGGUGGGUCGCGACGGGGGAAGAGGAGGGGAAAGGGAGGGGGGCUGGCGGCCGCCGGAACGCCGGUGCAGGUGGGCUGGUGGCUGGGGUUUGAGGUUUUUUUUUUAAUUAAUUUUUUUAAUAUUUUUGGUUUGUUUUUGGAUUUUUUGAAAAUUUUUUUAUUGAAUUUUUAUUUUAAAAAACGAAUCAAUCAGAAAGUGACAUGUGACAAGUGAUGGGGUCCACUAACAGUCAACUAACGGUUGUCAGUCAAUAAUGACACAAUGGCACUCGGUGAAUUUUCUUAAAACGCGGCAUUCCUCCGGUAAUGGUGGUGCUCUGAACGCUGCCGAUCCAACCCACAUCCUUCUUCUUCGAAACGACGCCGCCUCCUCCCCCCGGUGGCGCGGUGGUGGUGCUCUUAUUGGGCGGAACGAGACUUCUGGAGGAUAAUUAUGUUAAGGCUUUCAUGGAUUGUUUUGGUUGACUUUGUUUUGGAUUUGGAUGGAGAAGUUAUUCAAGUUGACAAGCUAGGAAAGUAGGAAAUAGACAUACCUUGGAGGGAGAAGUAGCCUUUUUGCCGUAGAAGUGGCAGGAUUCAUACAGUGAUUCAUACAGAACAAAAGUAAGUAAGCCACCAGUUCUUAGAGCAAGUCUUGGAAGGUAGAAUUCAUCAGAAACUGUUCCUGCGAAAUCCCACAUCGGGUCUGAUAUCAGACAAGCAACUGGCUCUGUGCCCUUAGUAGCAUCCUCCAAGACCUGGGUCAAGGAAACUCGAAAAGGCGCUGAAGCUCUUAUUCAGUAAAGUUACUACCUCCCAAGGAUCGAAUGAGGAAGCCAGAGUUUCAAGACUCCAUUGUCCUCCUUCCAUGUAGUGGAAGGUGAAGUUAGGAAAUGCAGUUUGAUCAUAAGAGUUGAGACGAGUUUGGAUGAUAUUGAUGGAAAAUCCUUUAGAAUGAAGCGCGUAUCCUAAAUUGAACAUUGGAGUUGUGUGGCCUACAUAUGGAUGGGGAAGCAGUAUUACUCUGCAACCCAGCUUGCUGUCUUGCUUCUCCAUUGAAGUACUUCUUGCUGUUUCUUGUUGCUUGCAGAUAUUCUUUGACAGCCUAAUUAAAGCUCUAAACAACUUUUGUUAGUCUUGAUUUGUUUUUUGAUUUUUAAACAAAGUUUGUCUUGGUUCAUGGUAUGAAAGAAUAUGCAGGUUAUGCUUGCGUACAA